AUUGAACGCUGGCGGCAGGCCUAACACAUGCAAGUCGAGCGGAUGAAGGGAGCUUGCCCCUGGAUUCAGCGGCGGACGGGUGAGUAAUGCCUAGGAAUCUGCCUGGUCGUGGGGGAUAACGUCCGGAAACGGGCGCUAAUACCGCAUCCGUCCUGCGGGAGAAAGUGGGGGAUCUUCGGACUUCACGCUAUCAGAUGAGCCUAGGUCGGGUUGGCUAGUUGGGGGGGUAAGGGCCUACCAAGGCGACGAUCCGUAACGGGGCCGAGAGGAUGAUCAGUCACACUGGAACGGAGACACGGUCCAGACUCCUACGGGAGGCAGCAGUGGGGAAUAUUGGACAGUGGGCGAAGGCCUGAUCCAGCCAUGCGGCGUGGGUGAAGAAGGUCUUCGGUUUGGAAAGCACUUUAAGUUGGGCGGAAGGGCAGUAAGUUAAUACCUAGCUUUUUGAAGGUAACCAACAAAGAAGGCACGGCCUAAUUCCUG
rnacentral:rRNA from 1 species